rnacentral:lncRNA from 1 species
AACUGAGGCUUCAAAAGAUAAAAGAGAUCCAUGCUGAAGGGAGAGGAAAAGAAGAAGACCCCAAGGACCACAGGCCUGGGCCUGUGUUAUCCCAAUGCCAUCAUCUCAGGAUACGAUGGGAGCUGCUAGGUGUAGAGAUGGCUCUUCUUUGAAGAAACCCCCAUGAAAUGGUUUCAGGGGAGGUCACUGUGGUUAUAUCCCAGAAGAUUUGCCCUGCAAGUGAAACAGAAGCUUCUCAUGGAGAUGUGGAGGGGGCUGCCCCGCUGUGUCAGAAAGUGGAGACUCUAUGGAACCAACCCCAUUAUACUGAGAUAGGGUUGAGGCUGCUGAUGGGUCUUUACCUAUUGUAGCUUCCAUUUGUAUGGUAGGCAGCCGCUAAGAUGGCCCCAGAUAUCACUGCCUUGUGAUAGUCCUGUCUUUGUGUAAUCCACUCCCCAUGAGUGUGGGCUGGAUCUACUGGCUCUCUUCUGCUAAACAGAUGAUCGAAAAAGUGAUGAAAUGUCACUUCUAAAAUUAGGUUACACAGAGAAUGUGGUUUCUUUUUUGCUCACUCCCUCUUACUCAGGGAAACUAGCUACCUCUUUAUGUACUGCCCUAUGGAGAGGCACACAUGUCAAGAAACUGAGGGAGUGCCUUCCAGUCAACAGCCAGCCAGGAACUAAGGUGCUCAGUACAGCAGCCUCCACAAAGGACUGAACAAUGCCAACAGCUAUUUGACUGUGCUUGGAAGAUCUCCGUUUAGUUAACCCUUCAGAUGAGACCGCAGCCCUGGCCAGCAAACAAAUUGCAGCCUAUGGAAAGACCUUAAGGCAGAAGCACCCAACUGAACCACCCGAGGGCUCUGACUUACAGAAACUGUGAGCAUAUAGUGAAAUGGCCUCUACCUUAUUUUGAAUGGAUUUCUGGGAUAAAGUUCUUCAGUGAUAACAUGUUUGAAUGAGAUCAUUUGUACAAAUCUUGAAACCAAAGCACAGCCUGUAUGAACCCAUGUUGAACCCUGGACUUUCAGGACUACUGUAUGGCUAACCACAGCCCUGCAAGGCCAGGCUCAGCAUGUCACAGUUUUGCCACUGAACAAGAAUCUUUCGAAGGAUCGCAAAUACUACAUGGAAAAUGACUGUAUUCUUUCUGCAAGGCCACUCUCUUAGACAUCACCCUAACAAAAACAAUUACGGGUUGGAAGAGGAGAAAGGAUGCAAAGUUUGUGCCUUGACCUAAAAAAGGUCAUGAGCACCUCUACCGGUUCUUGGAAACAUUAGUUGCAGUGGAUCUCAAAUUCUAUUGCGCAAAAGAACGACCUGGUGACCCUCUAAAAGUGUAGAUUCUCUGGUUUCACCCCUAGACCUUGUGACUCACAUGUCCAGUGAGGCCAGGAACUCCUCACUGUUAACCUGUGCCCUAUUUUAACAAGCCCUGCUGGGAGUCGGGAUGUUGGGGGUCCCCACACCACACUGAAAUAGAGGAAUUCCCUGCUCAAAGAUCCCGUUAUGUCCUGAUUACAAUCUGCAAUGAGAUUAUGAAAUCAUUAAAUCAUGAUUAAGCCAA